CUGGUCAGUAUCAAACUGGCCACGUGCAGCUUCUGAAACUGACGUUGACUUCGGACAGGUUAAAAAACAACAACAAAAAAAAAACGUUGAGGCAUUGUCGUCAAACCUAACGUUUUCAUAUUAUCGGUAUCCAUUUCCAGUUAUUUGAAUACCACUCGACUAUUCUUCGAAAUGCCUAGUUCAGUAGCAUGUUUUUCAAACGACCAGGAAGCAGACGAUGAUCAGAAAGUUCAACCGCCAAAGCAAGACAAAUGGCUGUCUGAUUUAGGGAAUUCUUUAACCAAAAUGCAGUCAGAAGAAAGUCUUCACAGUUUA